AGUUUUCUUACUGUCAAACACUUUGUGUGGGUUGAAGGUGUUAUAAAUAUAAAAUGGAAAGUUAAUUUUUCUUUUUGGUGUGUAAGAGUAGGACAGGCUGAACUGUGAAAAUGCAGAGUUCUUUGUUGAAAAAUUAUUAAGAAUUUUAAGACAGUAACAAUGGGAGAUUAUGCCAUGGAUGGGACCCUGGUAAACACAAGGACCUGUUUUGACAUUUUAGGCCAUAAAUUCAUGUAACUGACAUAUAAGAGAAACUACAAAUUAUCAACAUGGGAAUAGCCCAGGAAUAAUCCAAAAAGGAAGAUUCUCCAAUAGAUGUUGAUAAUGUUUAUGGUCAUGUUAGGGCUUAUAAAAUGAUACUCCAAAGGAUGACAUUUUGACAUACUGAGCACUUUGAAUCAAAGAAAUCCGUAGGUCUUAGAAGCCGCCUUAGAAUCCAGGUCUCUCUAAUCUUCCCUUAUUCUCCUGACUACCCUAUCCUAAAGUGUGUGUGUGUGUCUCUCUCUCUCUCUCUCUCUCUCAUGACUUUAUCUGACAAAAGGAAAUUAUUUCAAAUAAAAUGCAAUUGGUUUGUACUCCCUCCUUAAAAUCACAUUAACCAGAGGCAGGUCUACCCACGCCCUACCAAGGUUCUGAGUCGCACAGAACAUGCUGAAUCAGUCUGCUGCAGACAGACAGGUCUGUGCACGCCCUACCGAGGCCCCGAGUCAAGCGGAAGACACCGAAUCACCCCGCUACAGACAGGCAGCCACCUGGUUCCACACUACAAAGACGCAGAGGACACCAGACCACCAGACCAAGGGUCUUCCAGAGCAUAACUGACAACAUGAUUGACAAGAGUGCUGAGUCACAUCACCUGCAUCUACUGCACAUGUCCUUUCCCAUAAUUCACUUUGUUACAACUGGAUGUAUGAGACGCAGUCCAUGUGCAUGAACCUUCAAUGAGCUCCAGGUGAAGAAAGGUUUCUGCAGGUCAUUGGUGUGUGUGGAUCCUGGUUUAGAAUUUUGGAAUUUUCCCAGGCAGGUUUAGGGAUCUUUGCUUUUCUUAUGUCUGCCUGCAUGUAGUAAGGGGUUGGCCUUGGGUUGUUGCUCAGGUGCAGGUGAGUGGAGGGAAGUGGUCCCAUAGCCCCAGUUGUAGUGUCUAUAUUAGGUUCAAUCCCCAGUGCUAUUGAAAAAAAAAAGUCAUCAUGCCCAGAGAGAUUCUUCAUCACCCCCUGUAGGAGCGGCUCACAGAGAGUCAUUACCUGCAUUAAUAUGACUACUUUUGUUCCUUGCCUAGUUCUCUCUUUCACCUGCCCACUCGUCACCACCUCCCCCACAGCCCAGAAUUUUCUCUCAGGCUAUUGUCAGUUCUCCCACCUGUGAAUUUCCCUAACAAUCGUGUACAACCCAUCUUCAGGUUGACUAGACCCCCACUGCUCUCUGUCCUAUGAAGAGGGGUGUUUUGAAUAUCAUCGGGAUAUUGGGCACUCUCCUGGGAUUCUCUGUGCAUAUAAUAAACACACAUGCUUUUCUCUCCUGCUGAUCUAUUGUCAGUUUAUUUCACAGACUUCAG
rnacentral:lncRNA from 1 species